UGUAUGUGCAAGGAUGAGGGAGAACAGAGUCACCUCUGGGCCUUGGACAGAGUCCCAUUAAGACAUCUCAACCUUGGGUCUCCUGGGCU
rnacentral:lncRNA from 1 species